UACGUAGGUUGCAAGCGUUGUCCGGAUUUAUUGGGCUUAAAGGGUGCGUAGGCGGCUUUGUAAGUCAGUGGUGAAAUAUGGCAGCUCAACUGUCAGGGUGCCAUUGAUACUGCGGAGCUUGAGUACAGAUGAGGUAGGCGGAAUUGACGGUGUAGCGGUGAAAUGCUUAGAUAUCGUCAAGAACACCGAUAGCGAAGGCAGCUUACUAGGCUGUAACUGACGCUGAGGCACGAAAGUGUGGGGAUCAAGCAGG
rnacentral:rRNA from 1 species